GGAGUUAGCCGGUGCUUCUUCUGUGAGUGAUGUCCUUCCUGCCGGUUAUUGACCCGCAGGCCUUCUUCCUCACUGAAAGUGCUUUACAACCCGAAGGCCUUCUUCACACACGCGGCAUGGCUGGAUCAGGGUUGCCCCCAUUGUCCAAUAUUCCCCACUGCUGCCUCCCGUAGGAGUCUGGGCCGUGUCUCAGUCCCAGUGUGGCUGAUCAUCCUCUCAGACCAGCUACGGAUCGUCGCCUUGGUGAGCCGUUACCUCACCAACCAGCUAAUCCGACAUAGGCUCAUCCGAUAGCGCGAGGCCCGAAGGUCCCCCGCUUUCCCCCGUAGGGCGUAUGCGGUAUUAGCCUGGGUUUCCCCAGGUUAUCCCCCGACUACCGGGCAGAUUCCUAUGCAUUACUCACCCGUCCGCCGCUCGCCACCAGGGAGCAAGCUCCCCGUGCUGCCGCUCGACUUGCAUGUGUUAGGCCUGCCGCCAGCGUUCAAUCUGAGCCAUGAUCAAACUCUGA
rnacentral:rRNA from 1 species